GACGAACGCUGGCGGCGUGCCUAAUACAUGCAAGUAGAACGCUGAAGGAGGAGCUUGCUUCUCUGGAUGAGUUGCGAACGGGUGAGUAACGCGUAGGUAACCUGCCUGGUAGCGGGGGAUAACUAUUGGAAACGAUAGCUAAUACCGCAUAAGAGUAGAUGUUGCAUGACAUUUGCUUAAAAGGUGCAAUUGCACCACUACCAGAUGGACCUGCGUUGUAUUAGCUAGUUGGUGGGGUAACGGCCCACCAAGGCGACGAUACAUAGCCGACCUGAGAGGGUGAUCGGCCACACUGGGACUGAGACACGGCCCAGACUCCUACGGGAGGCAGCAGUAGGGAAUCUUCGGCAAUGGACGGAAGUCUGACCGAGCAACGCCGCGUGAGUGAAGAAGGUUUUCGGAUCGUAAAGCUCUGUUGUAAGAGAAGAACGAGUGUGAGAGUGGAAAGUUCACACUGUGACGGUAUCUUACCAGAAAGGGACGGCUAACUACGUGC
rnacentral:rRNA from 1 species